AUUGAUCAACACUAUAUAUUGGACUGAGCUAAUACAAUGAAUUAUGAACUCAAUAAAAGACUCAUCAAAUCCUAAUUUCGUCAUCAUACCUUUAAUAAAAGGCCAUUCCACAUGAUCAUACGACUUACUCAUGUCCAAUUUAAGAGCUAUAUAACCCCUUUUCCCAAUUCUUCUAUUCUUUAAAUAAUGGAAAACCUCAU
rnacentral:lncRNA from 1 species